rnacentral:rRNA from 1 species
AACGAACGCUGGCGGCAUGCCUAACACAUGCAAGUCGAACGAGACCUUCGGGUCUAGUGGCGCACGGGUGCGUAACGCGUGGGAACCUGCCCUUAGGUUCGGAAUAACUCCCCGAAAGGGGUGCUAAUACCGGAUAAUUUCUUCGGACCAAAGAUUUAUCGCCUUUGGAUGGGCCCGCGUUGGAUUAGCUAGUUGGUAGGGUAAAAGCCUACCAAGGCUACGAUCCAUAGCUGGUCUGAGAGGAUGAUCAGCCACACUGGGACUGAGACACGGCCCAGACUACUACGGGAGGGAGCAAUGGGGAAUAUUGGACAAUGGGGGAAAGCAUGAACCAGCAAUGCCGCGUGAGUGAUGAAGGCCUUAGGGUUGAAAAGCUCUUUUACCCGGGAUGAUAAUGACAGUACCGGGAGAAUAAGCUCCGGCUAACUCCGUG